UUAAGUUCGGACAUCGAAAAAUAAAUAUAAGCUAGAAAAAUAAAGAAGUGUUAAAUCAAACCUAAAAGAACGGAAUUUUACAGAUGUGAAGACAUUAAAUUGAAGUCAAUCAUUCUACCAUAAAUAAACAACUUUUCACACGUGCUUCGGCGACUCUUGCUUCUGUUAUACGAAAACGUUUGCGGACAAUUUUGUGUGGUGCGCACAAGAGACGCACGGCAGCCUCAGAUUCGCCUGUCGAAAUGGAAUAAUAAUAAUGUGCGUUUAAAUAGAACAUCUGUUCGGUCCGCACUCGGCUAAAUGGAGCAUGACAAAACAGAAAACACACAAACAGGCGGACAUAUUGAGGAUUGAGACGACGACGACGCCCGGCGACUGGCGACUGGCGACACUCGUGGGUUGACGCAGGCGCAAAGGAAAGGGGGUAUAAGAACCACGGGCCACUAAAGCAGAAAGACUCAGCGGAUCGUCGGAUCGGCAAUCAGCAAAACGUUGUACUGAUUGCCCCGUGUCCGUAUCCGUCUCUCUUGGCAUGCAUUGGGUAUCGGGUAUCGGGAAUGAUGAGGUGUUGGUGCUGGUGCUGGUGCUGGUUGCCUCUAUUACCUCUGUGUGGUGGCAAUAUUCCACCACCGAAGCUAUAAAUAAAUUAUUUAUAGCUCUGACUCCAGUUGGACGCGGCAUUGCUGUUGUUGUUGAUUUAGUGCCUCUUUAUAGAUCGAUAGAUGUGUGUGCGACUGUUGCUGUGUGUGUGUGUGUCUGUGUGUGCGUGGAUCUGGAUGCAUAAACGGGACGCUUACUUGAUGAUAGAGACCUAUUACGCCUCCAACUUCCACCGCCCAGCUCCCACCGUCCCACCAUCCCAAACUGCAGUUAGCUGCGGUUCGGGUGGGUUCGGCGGGUCGAGCCUCCUGUUGUUGUCCAUACUGGUGGUGCGUGGUGUUCGAGCUCUUAUCUAAUCGACGGCAAUGGUGGGCCACAGAUCGAUUGCGGGCUGGACUGACUCUGUGCGGCUGAUAGGCCCAUAUAGAGCGCCCAGAGGCGGCAGAUUGAAAUAAAACUCCGGUUUUAUAGCCACCACAAAAACCCCGGCCGUAUGGGGCUGCCCUCUAGCUCCACAGUCUCUGCUAUGGCCAUGCCACGUAAUUAUUUAUGGCCCGAUUUACACAAACAGCAAUUUGUAUUGUAAUUAUUGACUAUUUUCAAUUUCCUGGCUUCACACUGGAAGCUACGAGCGUGAAAGACGCUGCUCUACAAAGGGUCGUGACUCUUUUCACUCGAAAUCCGCAAAAUAUUGUGAUACAUAGGUGAAAUACCUUAACCUUAAACUUUGGUCUAAAUCUCUGAAUUCCUUGCUUCAUACUGGAAACUACGAACUUUUAUUAUUUAAGUAACGUCCUUUGAUCCGAAAUCCGCAAAAUAUUGUGAAAUAUACGUGGAUUAUCUCAAUACAUUCAGUUAUAUAGUUGAAACGUCGUGAAUCUAUUCACAUGAAAUUCACAAGUUAUUGUGAAAUAUACGUGGAUCAAUUUGAUCAUCUCUAAGCUUUGCUGAGACCAUAUCCCAGAAGGUUCAGGCAUAUGUACAUACUUCUAAUAGAAUACAUACGAAUAAGUGUACUAUA